rnacentral:rRNA from 1 species
UAAUGGGUGAUGGCGUGCCUUUUGUAGAAUGAACCGGCGAGUUACGAUUUGAUGCAAGGUUAAGCAGUAAAUGUGGAGCCGUAGCGAAAGCGAGUCUGAAUAGGGCGUUUAGUAUUUGGUCGUAGACCCGAAACCAGGUGAUCUACCCUUGGUCAGGUUGAAGUUCAGGUAACACUGAAUGGAGGACCGAACCGACUUACGUUGAAAAGUGAGCGGAUGAACUGAGGGUAGCGGAGAAAUUCCAAUCGAACCUGGAGAUAGCUGGUUCUCUCCGAAAUAGCUUUAGGGCUAGCCUCAAGUGAUGAUUAUUGGAGGUAGAGCACUGUUUGGACGAGGGGCCCCUCUCGGGUUACCGAAUUCAGACA